rnacentral:rRNA from 1 species
AGAGUUUGAUCCUGGCUCAGAUUGAACGCUGGCGGCAUGCCUUACACAUGCAAGUCGAACGGCAGCGCGGGGCAACCUGGCGGCGAGUGGCGAACGGGUGAGUAAUAUAUCGGAACGUACCCUGGAGUGGGGGAUAACGUAGCGAAAGUUACGCUAAUACCGCAUACGAUCUAAGGAUGAAAGUGGGGGAUUCGCAAGAACCUCAUGCUCCUGGAGCGGCCGAUAUCUGAUUAGCUAGUUGGUGGGGUAAAGGCCUACCAAGGCAUCGAUCAGUAGCUGGUCUGAGAGGACGACCACCCACACUGGAACUGAGACACGGUCCAUACUCCUACGGGAGGCAGCAGUGGGGAAUUUUGGACAAUGGGCGAAAGCCUGAUCCAGCAAUGCCGCGUGAGUGAAGAACGCCUUCGGGUUGUAAAGCUCUUUUGUCAGGGAAGAAACGGUGAAAGCUAAUAUCUUUUGCUAAUGACGGUACCUGAAGAAUAAGCACCGGCUAACUACGUGCCGGCAGCCGCGGUAAUACGUAGGGUGCAAGCGUUAAUCAGAAUUUACUGGGCGUAAGCGUGCGCAGGC